rnacentral:rRNA from 1 species
CGCUGGCGGCGUGCUUAACACAUGCAAGUCGAACGGUGACGGAGGAGCUUGCUCCUCCUGAUCAGUGGCGAACGGGUGAGUAACACGUGAGCAACCUGCCCUUCACUCUGGGAUAACUUCGAGAAAUCGGAGCUAAUACCGGAUACGAGACGCACAGGCAUCUGUAGCGUCUGGAAAGAUUUAUCGGUGAGGGAUGGGCUCGCGGCCUAUCAGCUAGUUGGUGAGGUAACGGCUCACCAAGGCGACGACGGGUAGCCGGCCUGAGAGGGCGACCGGCCACACUGGGACUGAGACACGGCCCAGACUCCUACGGGAGGCAGCAGUGGGGAAUAUUGCACAAUGGGCGCAAGCCUGAUGCAGCGACGCCGCGUGGGGGAUGAAGGCCUUCGGGUUGUAAACCCCUUUCAGCAGGGAAGAAGCGAAAGUGACGGUACCUGCAGAAGAAGCGCCGGCUAACUACGUGCCAGCAGCUGC